CCUAAGGAGAAGAUUUUGUUUAUUUUCUCAGCAGGGAUUCUUGUUAACUGGAGAAUAGGACCUGAUGGAUCAAGACUGGCCUCUUUCUACGUUAUUACGAGCCCAUUGCUAGAUCAGCCAAUUCAAGCUUGCACUAUGAAAAUACCUGUUAAAGAAAUUCUUUGCAAGAAUCAUAGCUGUGUGUAUAUGAAUAUAACAUUAAUAGAAGAUUGAACUGAAACAACUGUUAUUUCCAAGGUUCAUUUGUCAUCACGUCUCCUCGUGUUGUUUUCCUACUCAGAGCCUCAGAAGCAAAGUCACCUGGGUACCUCGGAAGCAGAGCCAGGCCAGGCUUCCCUGUUCCUCAUGGAAUAACUGAGCAAGACCUUGCUCAUUCCCAGCGCCUCAGGAUACCCUGUGCUGUUCACUCUUCUGACCUGCAUGGGCUGACUUCUUCCGACAUGCUGAGCAGGUCAUACAACUGGACCCAAGGAUUCCGCCCUCUCAUUUCGGGGAUCUUAUUUGUAGAAUCU